GGCGGCGUGCUUAACACAUGCAAGUCGAACGGAAAGGCCCGCUUGCGGGUACUCGAGUGGCGAACGGGUGAGUAACACGUGGGCAACCUGCCCUCAGCUCUGGGAUAACUCCGGGAAACCGGGGCUAAUACUGGAUAUCGACUUCUGCCUCGCAUGGGGUGUUGUUGAAAGUUUUUCGGCUGGGGAUGGGCCCGCGGCCUAUCAGCUUGUUGGUGGGGUGAUGGCCUACCAAGGCGACGACGGGUAGCCGGCCUGAGAGGGCGACCGGCCACACUGGGACUGAGACACGGCCCAGACUCCUACGGGAGGCAGCAGUGGGGAAUAUUGCGCAAUGGGCGGAAGCCUGACGCAGCGACGCCGCGUGAGGGAUGACGGCCUUCGGGUUGUAAACCUCUUUCAGCUCUGACGAAGCGAGAGUGACGGUAGGAGCAGAAGAAGCACCGGCCAACUACGUGCCAGCAGCCGCGGUAAUACGUAGGGUGCAAGCGUUGUCCGGAAUUAUUGGGCGUAAAGAGCUCGUAGGCGGUUUGUCGCGUCGAAUGUGAAAACCCGGGGCUCAACUCCGGGCCUGCAUUCGAUACGGGCAGACUAGAGUUCGGUAGGGGAGACUGGAAUUCCUGGUGUAGCGGUGAAAUGCGCAGAUAUCAGGAGGAACACCGGUGGCGAAGGCGGGUCUCUGGGCCGAUACUGAC
rnacentral:rRNA from 1 species